CAAAGGCUUGGUCCUGACUUUACUAACAACUUUAGCUUAACUUACACAUGCAAGUAUCCGCACCCCUGUGAGAAUGCCCCACAGUUCCCUGCCCGGGAACAAGGAGCUGGUAUCAGGCAUCUCAACUGAAGCCCAAGACACCUUGCUUAGCCACACCCUCAAGGGACCUCAGCAGUGAUAGACAUUAAGCCAUAAGUGAAAACUUGACUUAGUCACAGCUAAGAGGGCCGGUAAAACUCGUGCCAGCCACCGCGGUUAUACGAGAGGCCCAAGUUGUUAGUCCUCGGCGUAAAGAGUGGUUAGGAACAACCCAAAUACUAAAGCCAAACAUCUUCAAAGCUGUUAUACGCUCUCGAAGACAAGAAGUUCAACCACGAAAGUGGCUUUAAGUUCUCCGAACCCACGAAAGCUAUGGUACAAACUGGGAUUAGAUACCCCACUAUGCCUAGCCGUAAACAUUGAUAGCAAAGUACAUAUGCUGUCCGCCUGGGAACUACGAGCGUUAGCUUAAAACCCAAAGGACUUGGCGGUGCUUUAGAUCCACCUAGAGGAGCCUGUUCUAGAACCGAUAACCCCCGUUCAACCUCACCCUUCCUUGUUUCUCCCGCCUAUAUACCACCGCCGUCAGCUUACCCUGUGAAGGUAUAACAGUAAGCAAAAUUGGCAUAGCCCAAAACGUCAGGUCGAGGUGUAGCGUAUGGAAGGGGAAGAAAUGGGCUACAUUCCCUCCCCCAGGGAAUUACGGACGAUGCAUUGAAAUAUGCAUCCGAAGGAGGAUUUAGCAGUAAGUGAAAAAUAGAGUGUCUCACUGAAAUUGGCCCUGAAGCGCGCACACACCGCCCGUCACUCUCCCCGAGCUACCACACAACCCGUUAACUCAAACCAUUAAAACUGCAAAGGGGAGGCAAGUCGUAACAUGGUAAGUGUACCGGAAGGUGCACUUGGAAAAAU
rnacentral:ncRNA from 1 species